AUGAACCAAUUUCGAUGCCUGGGGCGACGACUGGACACAAAACCGCCCCAGCGCAGAUUGCGUCGCCGGCUCAUCUCCAGAGGGCGAUUUUUAUGCGGGGCCAGCUGUCUGAGAAGAAAGGAUACAACUCGUACCGGUAGUUGCAUCGGAUCCAAAAAGCCAUUCCGCUCUUCCCCCGCUGAGAUACUUGGGCAUCAUCUGAAUUAUAUCCCCGAGGCAACUCCGGCAGGCGGCCGGCGCCAAGUCCGGCGUGCACUGCACCAGCGCGUAGAUCGCGGGGAUUCCGCCUCUGUCGAACAUCUCCUCGCCCGUGGCAAACCGCUUGGACGAGUUCGAGGACGCGUAGUCGGCGGUGGCGUUCAGGAGCACGCCGACGGCGUUGUCGAACACCACCGUCGGCGCGGACACGUUCCGCGCGUCCGUCUGGAAGAUGGACUGGUUGCCUCGCCCGUCGGUGUCGGGCAGGAAGUUCUGGUUGGAGAAGUGGAGGAGGCAGAGGUCGUAGAAGACGGACGCGUCCUUGUUGAAGGCGCAGAGCUGCUGCGCGUCCUGGAAGGCGGUGGUGACGCAGGCCGCGCAGGCGGAGGCGUUGGUGUCGCCGCGGCAGAGCGCGAGGGCGUAGACGAUGUCCGGCACGGAGCCCACGCUGCCGGUGGCGAAGAGCGUUGGGGACGCGGAUGCGUUCUUGGGGAGGGUGACGGAGAGCUGCCCGAGGUUGGACUGGUAAGUGCUGUUCGCCGAGUAGUUCCCGCUGUCACCGCACACCUGUGGUUGCGCGGCAGCCAGCCACGCGAAGAAGAUGGGCACGAGGAGCACGGCAGUGAGAUUGGCGAGGGCGCGGUGGCCCGUUGCCAUGGCCGGCGGUGCCGGUGCAGCGGUGUGGUCGGUGAAGAAGAGAAGUUCGUGACGACUUCCAUCGUGCCGUGCAAGCUCUUAGGAUAUGGAUGGUUUGACUCGCAACGUGGCGUUGUUUGA
rnacentral:rRNA from 1 species